GAGUCUUUGCAGUAAUGCAAGGCAUACGGCUCAGUAACACGUAGUCAACUUACCCUAUGGACGAGGAUAAUCUCGGGAAACUGAGCAUAAUACUCGAUAGAUCAUAAUGCCUGGAAUGGUUUAUGGUUGAAACGAUUCGUCGCCAUAGGAUGGGACUGCGGCCUAUCAGCUUGUUGGUGAGGUAAUGGCCCACCAAGGCGAUUACAGGUACGGGCUCUGAGAGGAGAAGCCCGGAGAUGGGUACUGAGACAAGGACCCAGGCCCUAUGGGGCGCAGCAGGCGAGAAAACUUUGCAAUGUGCGAAAGCACGACAAGGUUAAUCCGAGUGAUUUCUGCUAAAGAAAUCUUUUGCAAGUCAUAAAACCACUAGUGAAUAAGGGGUGGGCAAGUUCUGGUGUCAGCCGCCGCGGUAAAACCAGCACCUCAAGUGGUCAGGAGGAUUAUUGGGCCUAAAGCAUCCGUAGCCGGCUCUGUAAGUUUUCGGUUAAAUCCACAUGCUUAACAUGUGGGCUGCCGGAGAUACUGCAAAACUAGGGAGUGGGAGAGGUAGACGGUACUUGGUAGGAAGGGGUAAAAUCCUUUGAUCUAUUGAUGACCACCUGUGGCGAAGGCGGUCUACCAGAACACGUUCGACGGUGAGGGAUGAAAGCUGGGGGAGCAAACCGGAUUAGAUACCCGGGUAGUCCCAGCUGUAAACGAUGCAGACUCGGUGAUGCAUUGGUUUAUUGCCAGUGCAGUGCCGCAGGGAAGCCGUUAAGUCUGCCGCCUGGGAAGUACGUACGCA
rnacentral:rRNA from 1 species